rnacentral:rRNA from 1 species
UUCUGGGAGGAUUGACAAAUUGAGAGCCCUUUCUUGAUUUGGUGGGUGCUGGUGCAUGUCCGUUCUUAGUUGGUGGAGUGAUUUGUCUGGUUAAUUUCGAUAACGAACGAGACUCUAGCCUAUCAAAUAGGUGCGUGGUACUCUGCACCUUGCAGCUUUCUUAGAGGGACAAGCGGCUCCUAGCCGCACGAAAUAGAGCAAUAACAGGUCUGUGAUGCCCUUAGAU